rnacentral:rRNA from 1 species
ACGAACGCUGGCGGCGUGCUUAACACCUGCAAGUCGAACGGAAAGGCCCUGCUUUUGUGGGGUGCUCGAGUGGCGAACGGGUGAGUAACACGUGAGUAACCUGCCCUUGACUUUGGGAUAACUUCAGGAAACUGGGGCUAAUACCGGAUAGGAGCUCCUGCUGCAUGGUGGGGUUGGAAAGUUUCGGCGGUUGGGGAUGGACUCGCGGCUUAUCAGCUUGUUGGUGGGGUAGUGGCUUACCAAGGCUUUGACGGGUAGCCGGCCUGAGAGGGUGACCGGCCACAUUGGGACUGAGAUACGGCCCAGACUCCUACGGGAGGCAGCAGUGGGGAAUAUUGCACAAUGGGCGGAAGCCUGAUGCAGCAACGCCGCGUGCGGGAUGACGGCCUUCGGGUUGUAAACCGCUUUCGCCUGUGACGAAGCGUGAGUGACGGUAAUGGGUAAAGAAGCACCGGCUAACUACGUG